rnacentral:rRNA from 1 species
UCGCCUGCAUGAAGUCGGAAUUGCUAGUAAUCGCAGAUCAGCAUGCUGUGGUGAAUACGUUCCCGGGCCUUGUACACACCGCCCGUCACACCAUGGGAGUCGGUAACACCCAAAGUUGGUAGUCUAACCGCAAGGAGGACGCCGCCUAAGGUGGGAUUGAUGACUGGGGUGAAGUCGUAACAAGGUAAC